rnacentral:rRNA from 1 species
AACGAACGCUGGCGGCAGGCCUAACACAUGCAAGUCGAACGCCCUAGCAAUAGGGAGUGGCAGACGGGUGAGUAACACGUGGGAACGUGCCCUUCGGUUCGGAAUAACUCAGGGAAACUUGAGCUAAUACCGGAUACGUGCGAGAGCAGAAAGAUUUAUCGCCGAAGGAUCGGCCCGCGUCCGAUUAGCUAGUGGGUGAGGUAAUGGCUCACCAAGGCGACGAGCGGUAGCUGGUCUGAGAGGAUGACCAGCCACACUGGGACUGAGACACGGCCCAGACUCCUACGGGAGGCAGAAGUGGGGAAUAUUGGACAAUGGGCGCAAGCCUGAUCCAGCCAUGCCGCGUGAGUGAUGAAGGCCCUAGGGUUGUAAAGCUCUUUCGCCAGGGACGAUAAUGACGGUACCUGGAUAAGAAGCCCCGGCUAACUUCGUGCCAGCCGCCGCCGUAA